UGUCAGGUGGUGUAGUGGUUUCAGUGUUGGACUACAACUCUGGAGAACAGAGUUCGAAUCCUUGCUUGGCCA